GACUCAAGUCUCAACCUCAAGUUGAUUAUAAAAUAAAAAUUAUAAGAUUUAUUAAUAAUUUAAUUAGAUUUAGUAAUAACUAAUAUAAUAAUCCGACUAAUGUGUAAAUCUAGAUUUCAAAUUUAUCUAGAUCUUGAUUAGAUCUAAGAAAAGAUACAAAAUAAUAAGUAAGCUUUCUUAGUCUUGAUCGAAAAGCUAGAUCUAAGCCUAAGCUUUCCACGUUUAGUUUAGAAUCUAGAAAUUAAAAUAGAAAAUAAAAAUAGAUUUAUUU